rnacentral:rRNA from 1 species
CUGAUGCAGCGACGCCGCGUGAGGGAUGACGGCCUUCGGGUUGUAAACCUCUUUCAGCAGGGAAGAAGCGAAAGUGACGGUACCUGCAGAAGAAGCACCGGCUAACUACGUGCCAGCAGCCGCGGUAAUACGUAGGGUGCGAGCGUUGUCCGGAAUUAUUGGGCGUAAAGAGCUUGUAGGCGGUUUGUCGCGUCUGCUGUGAAAAUCCGGGGCUCAACCCCGGACUUGCAGUGGGUACGGGCAGACUAGAGUGUGGUAGGGGAGACUGGAAUUCCUGGUGUAGCGGUGAAAUGCGCAGAUAUCAGGAGGAACACCGAUGGCGAACGCAGGUCUCUGGGCCACUACUGACGCUGAGAAACGAAAGCA